ACAAGUGGAGACAUAAGUUAGGUGGAAUCACAAGUCUGGAGCCCAGAGGAGAGGUCUUGACUAAAGAUAUCAAAUCGCAAGUCAUCAGCAAAAGAUUUUGAAACGUGUAGAUAGAUAUCAUCUGGGGAGAGAGGCAAGAUCCAAGGCUGAUCCUCGAGGUCAGACAGAGGAGGAGAAACCAGGAAAAGAGACUGAGAAGAAGCAUCUGGUGUGGUAAGAGGGAAACCUUGAGAGAACACAAGGCAAAAGAAGGUCUACUCCCAAGCACUGAGUGAAGACCCAUGGAAAAGACAUGUAUACUGUCCUGUGGAGCCUUUGGUCCUCCAAGCAAAUGCUGGGAAUACUUGAACCCCAUCUAUCAGGUUAGUAGGAAUGCAGAAUGAAGCCUAGAUUGGAUCAGGUAAGUGUUGUUGCCUCCCUUUCUAAUGAGCAGCCAGAGUACAAUUAAUGAAAGCUACGUAAAUGUGCUCCAGGCUGUUAAGAUUACAAAGAGAGUUCAGGGCUGGGGAUAAAGAAUCAGAAUAGGAUCCACAAUCAAUUACAGAGAAGGUCCUCCUAUCUCAGACAGGCACACACAUUUUGAUAUCUCAU